rnacentral:rRNA from 1 species
AGUGAACGCUGGCGGUAGGCCUAACACAUGCAGGUCGAACGGCAGCACAGGAGAGCUUGCUCUCUGGGUGGCGAGUGGCGGACGGGUGAGGAAUACAUCGGAAUCUACUCUGUCGUGGGGGAUAACGUAGGGAAACUUACGCUAAUACCGCAUACGACCUACGGGUGAAAGCAGGGGACCUUCGGGCCUUGCGCGAUUGAAUGAGCCGAUGUCGGAUUAGCUAGUUGGCGGGGUAAAGGCCCACCAAGGCGACGAUCCGUAGCUGGUCUGAGAGGAUGAUCGGCCACAGCGGACAUGAGAACCGGUCCAGACUCCUACGGGAGUCAACAGUGGGGAAUAUUGGACAAUGGGCGCAAGCCUGAUCCAGCCAUACCGCGUGGGUGAAGAAGGCCUUCGGGUUGUAAAGCCCUUUUGUUGGGAAAGAAAUCCAGCUGGCUAAUACCCGGUUGGGAUGACGGUACCCAAAGAAUAAGCACCGGCUAACUUCGUGCCAGCAGCCGCCGUAA